rnacentral:lncRNA from 1 species
AUGUAAUUAGCAUCUCAUUAGUUGUCCGCUCGGGCUCGGAAGGCAGCCACUGCCGCCAGUCUGAGGCAGGUGCCCGACAUGGCGAGUGCUGUGCUGCCGAGCGGAUCCCAGUGUGCGGCGGCAGCGGCUGUGGCGGCGGCGGCGGCGCCUCCAGGGCUUCGGCUCCGGCUCCUGCUGUUGCUCCUCUCCGCAGCGGCUCUGAUCCCCACAGGUAGGUGUUGGUACCGGCCAGUUGGCCCCGAAACCUCCCCAGGCACCCCAGUAGCCGUAGCCAUGGAGGGGGGGAAACGUUUCCAUGACAACCUCCCCCCACUUCCUAAAUCCGAAGCGGAGGGAGUGUGGAGAGAAAACUCCACGGCUGAGAUGGAAGGGGCUGAGGGAAUCGCUGCUCCCCUUCCCUGCCCGGCUGGUUAUGAAUGAGAGCCCUCAGGGAUGGCUGCACCCACACCUUUUCUCCCUGGCUUGGCGCGAGGUGCGGAGUGGAGUGAGACUGGGGGGCCGGGGGCUAGAGAGUAUGGGGGAAGGGGAGGGAUCGAAGGCACCCCCAAACCUUCCGGACCCUCUUAAACUCGCUGAUGUCCCCGCAACUUGCAGGUCCUCUGGUCUCCCAGGGCUGCCGGUUUGCCCCCACCUCUCCAUUGAGCAACUGCCCCCCCGCGCCCGACUUCUCCAUCCCCCAAGCCUCCCUAUGGCUGACUACCCGCCGCCUCCGGCGUGAUUCCUUGCGGGUUCCCAGGACACUUGUCUGUUCUCCUCCGCUCCCCGCGCUCUGCCUCUCUCCGGUCCCCGAACUGCACGUCUCUAGUGUUUCCCUCCGGCCCACCACAGCCCCUCCGCCCCCUCGGCUAGGCUGCGGGUCUUCCUGGCCCGGAUCCAGGCAGGGAAAGUUCCCCCGGCCCGGCCCCACGGGGGGGGGGCGGUCGCUGUCGCCGCCUCUGCGGGAAGGCGCGGGGAGCCCGCAUCCCGCCCGCCCCACGGCGUCCUCUGCCACGAGUGGGGACACCGGAUUUCCCGGCAGCUCGUCCUUUCGGCGGCCGGAGGGUGGUGGAGGGCGCGUUCGCGGCCUCUGCGUCCAGGCGGGCUCCCUGUGGGCCUCCGGGCACCCCCCUCGUGGAGAGCAAUCUUGGGAAUUUGCCCAGGGGCGGCUCUGCACGCCUGGCGCCUUCCCUGAAGACACCGUGCGCUCGGCAGGAGCUCCAUGUGUGGCUGCCCGUGUGCCGGGCGCGUUGGCGCGGUCGGGAAAGAAGAGGGCAGUGUUUGCAUUUGCUAACAAAAGGGAACCGGAGCUCUUCCCCAGCGGAGAGGCUGGUCGUGCUGCACCCUUGCUUCCCUUCCCGCCGCCUCUUCGCGCUCGGCAGCGGCGCGGCGUCCCCGCGCCCCUGGCCGCCUGCUGUGGGCUCCCUGCGGGCGCCGGGACAGAGUGGCUCCCGGCUACGGGGGACGGGCGGCGGUGCAUGAGGGGAUGCAGUAUGGCUAUGCGCCUGCAAAGCCCCUACUUGAAGCUCGAGAGCUGCAGGACCCUGAGCAACAAGUGGCGGAGGACGCCGAGAGCUCAACCCCCACCUGCGGAGCCCCUGGCCCGGGCGGGCACAGCGCCUUUUUGCUUGGGCUGUGCCUUUUGUUUACACGCUAGAGGACACACAGUUAUGUAAACACCGCAGGAGACACGCUGUAGGAAAUGGGGAUAUCUGGGGGUGCUGGGCUUUUUAUUUGGGGGAUGGCCGGUUGGUGCUUUUCCCCAAAACAGGCUUACAGAGGAUCUCUGCUUGGAGAGUAUAUCGGGCCGUAGGAGUGAGAGUCUGGCAGCGGCUUCAUUCCCAGCGUUGGGGGAUUUUUUCUUCCCUGCCAGCGUCUGUCUUCGGAUGUUGUUUAUAUGUUUUCCUCUGUGAAUUCUUAAUUUAUGAGUUUCAAGAUAAUUGGGUUCAGCCGAUGCCGGGUAUGGUUACAACUCCAUUUCAGGUGAUGCCACUGACUGGAGGGGUUCGAUAAAAUGUUCCUGAAAAAGAUCCCUCGUGCUGCUGCAUUGUAAAAAGCGCCAGUGUCAGUUAAACGUGAGCGUGAGUAAAGGCUAGGUAACUGGCGCAUAAUAGAGGCAACAAUAGACUUGUAUUAGCUGCAAAAAAAGGGGGGAAAGCGCUGGUCGGGGAUAUUGCCUGAAAAUGGGAGCCAUGCAAUGCCUCUUGGCAGCAGAACUGGAUUAGAUUAGGCUUCCCAUGUCAAACCUGCUCAUUGAAGGCACCGGGUAGUAACAACAGUACUAUAUUUGUAACUAUCUCGCGGUGAGAAGUUGCCUUCCCGGCGAGGGAUAUGUGCUGACUUAGAAACGAGCGGUCUGAUACUCAACUGUGCGUGUCAAAGCUACAUGAAAAUUCUGUUGCCAGUUACCAUGGAAGCAGCUUCUUGCUCUUGUGUACAUCCCUGUUUGUACUCUGUUUAUCAGAUUGUGUUCAAAUUAGAAAGUAAUUGGGUUUGAUUUGUAGUGAGGGGACUUUCUUUAAUUUUUUAUGCGGUUUUUUUUUUUUUUUUUGGCUCUAGGUUUGAGAGGGGGGUAUGGGCCCAACCCUAAAUCCCAUAUUCUGGUGGUAAAUUUCAGGUGGAUGCCUAGGGGACUUUUCUUCCUCAGACUUGUUAAUGUGAUCUGAGAAGCUCCUGAUUCCCACUCCCAGCAUUAAAGAAACCUGUUGGUGCUGUCUUUGAACUUCAUUAGGCUUGUUUCAUUUACAUCCUUGCUAGGAAAGAGAACUCCAGCCAUUAAGCACUGAGUCCUGAUUCUUUUUCCCCUGUGAGUGAAGCCAUCUAUCCUUCUAGAGAAAAUCUCCCAUCCCUCCUGGUCGUGUUUGGAUGAAAUGGAUGUUCAUGAAAUGCAGCCAAAAUGGUAUUGCCUAAGCAGUGUUAAUUAUGCCUAUUACAUUAAAGUGCAUGCAUGAUGUUUUGGAUCCUGAAUGAACCAGUGGUAGAUCACCCUCUCUUACCUUUUUUGGGGAUUAGAGAAGAUGGCUGAUGGGUGGGAGAUUUGUGGUGGUGACUGGAAGUCAGGGGCUGAGUUUUGCUUGCCGCAGCCUGUUGGGGCUUGCAUCCCAGGGACAGGGACUUUGCAAAAGUGCCGCCCUGCUAUUGUUGCCUUUCCCUACAUCAAAUUGAAUAGCCACAGGAGGGACUUGCACUUGCCUGUGAUAGCUUUGAUAAAAUAUCCCUCAUUAAUGCCACUUUAUAUUUACAGUGUGUCACUGGAGACGCACAAGGCUUCAUUUAGUGACUUGUGUGACGAGACAAGCUUGCAUUAUUUGCCUGGGACAUUUUGGAGGAACAAGAGACCCAUUGAGCAAUCUUUUGAAAUGAACAAAUACGAAAAAGGGGGGAAUAAAAGAGCAGGCAGUUCUCUGGAACAAAGAGCUUUAUUCAUAUGGAUGUUGUACAUGCUUUAUCCAGUUUUCCCCAGUGGCCCUCCUGGUAAAGGGGAGUGGGACAGGGAAGAUGCCAAUAAGCAGGACACUUUCGCUUCCUCUCUGGCUUCCUGACUUCAGGAAUAUUCUUAUUGGAGUUGGUGCCUGACUCAUUGCCUGCUUCGCUUUCCACUCCCUCAAAAAUUCCAGAAGGUAACCGGUUUCUGGGUCCCCCCCCCCACAAAAUUUCAUCAGACGAAAGUGCUAGCUACCUGUUGAGAUUGAUGAUCAUUGGAAGAUAUAUUGGUUGAAGGGAAAGAGCUGUCACUUUUCUAUGACAUGUGUCAAGAGGUGGUUGAUAGUGAAUGUCAGAUUGGUAAGAUGUCUUGCAAUUAUAACAUUAGCUGUACUAUAUUUAUUUUUGAAGAAAUGCUGUAAAAGCUAAAAUCCAGAAUUUUUAUUAUCAUUAAUGAUGUUUUGGAGUUUUUGUGACUUUUCCCCAUACCUGGUACAUUUUAACCUCAUAUGUAAAUGACUUUUUAUUACUACUUACCCUACUUUGCUAAAUGACUUUUUAGGUUUUGAAAAUUGAUAAUAUUACUAUGAAUAUACACGGUCUCAUUCUCGUUGGGUUUUUGUAUGUUACAUUUUAACGCCUUAUUUUUCAUUUAGAAUUUACAUUUAAAAAUUGUGUGUGCGUUUGCUGUUAACAGAAGUCCUGUUUUCAUUUGGGGGAAUUUCUUAAAUGAGGCCAAACUAAUUGAUACUGUGAUUUGAAUGGAAAGUGAUCAGCAUAAGAAAAAAUUUGUAAGAAAUAAAUUCAAAGGAUUAAAAUGCUGUCUAUCUUUCUUGGGAAGAAUAGUACUGACCAUAAUGCUGGGCAUUUUUAACAGAAAAUCCAGCACAGAAAGGAGAAAUCACACAGCGACAUCUGUUGCAGAAUUGAAAAUUUGCUGCUUUGAGUUGGAAGCAAUUAGUCCUUGUAUAAGCACCUAAUGGUAUCAGUGUAUGUGUGUUCUGAUACAAAUAUGUAUAUGCACAUACUUAUAUAUGCAUAUAGACACAAUAUACAAAACUCACCCACAUACAAUAUUCAUGUUCACAUUAAAAAUUAUUGAAUAGAAAAUAUAACCUUUUCUAUUGCAUACGUCCUUUUCAAAAAUAUUAGAGAUUCUUGUAAUUCUGGAGUUUUUGAAAGGGAAAGGUAUUAGAAAUCAUCUGUGGUUUCAAAAUGAGACAGCCGAAGCCCAGAGAAGUAGGGACCUUGUUCACAGCUGAACUGAAGCUGGGUUAGCUACAGAUUCUGGAUGGAGACAGAUCCCUUGAUGUCCAGCCAGUGGACCUUUUGUUAAACCUCCUGGCAGGGAUGCCCAGUUAGAAAUAUGGAUCGGGGGAGGAUGCUACUUCGGCUAAAAAUAUUUUGUAUUCCAAAGGCAGCAAGAUUAAUUGUUGCUUUAGGUAAUAAACCAAAGGAUCAGAAGGAAUGACCUCUGGGAAGAAUGGACCAGAUCUUGGUAAUGUUGUCUUUGGUGUUGACAAAUGAUUCUGAAACCUCUGGACAUUAUUUGGCAGCCACCACGAGAAUGUCGUCCAAAGCACCUUCAUAGGGGAGAACACCAGGCUUGUAUUGCUAUAAUAAGUCAGAUACGUGAAAAGUAGGAUUCACAAGACUCAGGUUUCCGUUUUUAAGAUUUUUAUUUCUUUUCAAGGAUUAAUUUUAACAGUAGAACUGGUUCCAUAUAACUAAGGAAAAAAGGAAUUGUUCUUAAGUUUAAGAACAAGAACAUAAUUUGAUUUUCUUAGCAGGGGCUCUUUCUUUGUCAUUAUCAGAAAAAGAGCUGAAAAAGAAUUUUGAUAAAUCAUUGUUUUUGCAAGAUGACCUUUUUAUAUUGGCCAUAUUUUCUCUUUUUUUCCAUUUUAUUAUGGAAAAUUUCAAAUAUAUCCAAUAGUGGAAAGAAUGCCAUAUUUAGCCCUAUAUGCAAAUCACCCGGUGUCAAUAGUUAUCCCACCCCUGGUCAAUCUAUCCCUUCUGUGCUUCCUCCUCGUCUUCAUUAUUUCAAAUAGACACUGGACAUCCUAUAAUUUCUUCCACAAUUACUUAAGGCUGAUUCUUUAAGAUACAACUCCCCCCACCUCAUAAUCAUAGUAUCAUUAUCUGAAUAUACAUAUUCUCAACUGGAUAUACAGAAUUUUUGCCCUACCUUUGCUUUUCUGAAAAAGGCAGAAUGAAGGGUUGUCACAGUGGGUAACGGCAAAGCAGAAACCAGAGAAACCAGAGCAUGAUUACUGCUUGUUGCGAGACCUUUCCUUUGGUUUAGUUUAUUUUGAGCGAGGUUGUGUUUGGAUCUGAUGAGAUGAAUUUUAUUGUUGUAUAAACAUGGUUGUGUAAAUAUGCAGUAAUUGUAGCUACCCCAACUGUGGCUUGCACCCUUGGCGAGAUUGGCCAUUUCCAGUUGUUCCCAUAAUGAGUACCCUCCAUCUAAGAACUUAUAUAGGAAGGCUUAUUUUAGUUAGAUGGCUGGGAGAAACCCUGUUCAUAUAUUUAUCUUCAUAGGCCUCCAUGGUAUAAAAGUCUUUGCAUUUUGUGAAUAUAUUGCUUAAAAGAAAAAUGUCUUCCCAUUUCUAACUGGCUAAGUGCUAAUUUCAGCCUAUUUUCUGUAACUGAAGUGAUCAAAAAUGGUUUCUUUGGCGUGGGGAACCCUUACAAGAAGCUGUAAGUAUUCGGACCACAUUUUGGUGGGUUGAGGGUGAGGGGUGAUAGGGAGAGAAAAGGUUACUAUCUUUACUUCAAAAUAUUUGCCCCAUUGAUUUAAAAUACAAAUUUUAAAUUUCAGCUAGAAAUGUUGGAAUACAUCAAUGUUAAUUUUUAAACUUUUUGGUUUUCCAAAAUAGAUUGGUUCCAUUUUCCAAGGUUCGUGGAAUGUGAGAGAUUUUUUAUUUUUAUUUUUUUAAAGAGGCUCUUUCUCAAAUGUUUUAUUUAAUGCAGGCUAUAAAUCUGAAGCAUUUGUUUUUUGGUUUCCAGCCAAACAGGUAAUUACACACGAGAUGCUUUUGAGGGGGUCUUAGAGGCCCUGACCAGGUGAAAACCCGCCUCCUGAGCUGGCUACCACACAAGAAAUGCACAAAGGAAUUCGUACAUUCACGGUUUGGGGAGCACUACCAAAAUGGAAUAAAAAGCCUUUGUUUGGAAACCAUCAAUGAAGGAAGGAACCCACUGGAAUGUUUGUAAUUACAAGUGGCACCUCCUUGUUUAGAUUUCAGAAGCCACAGUUUCUUUUUCAGAGAUUUAAAUUGCAGGCUGGAGCCAGCAGCUGCUGUUGUGGUUAAUGGGCAGUUUUUCUUUGAAGAUCUUCCAGUGCUGGUCCUCAGAAGCUUUGGUGCAGUUGCCCAUGAUCUAGGGUUAGAAAAAAGGGAGAUGGCUGGGCACGGUAGUGCACGCUUAUAAUCCCAGUGGCUCUGGAGACUGAGCAAAAGGAUCACAAGUUCGAGGUCAGCCUCAUCAACUUAGUGAGACCCUAUCUCAAAAUAAAAAAUAAAACGGGCUGGGGAUGUGGCUUAGUUACGCACUCCAAGGUUCAAUCCCCAGUAUCUUAAAAAAAAAAAAAAAGGAAAUGUAGGUGUUUAUAUACAUGCAUGGCCAAAAAUGCUGUGUGGCCUUUAAGGCUGAGAGGAAGCAAUCUCUAAAAAACCUGUUUUGACUGACAGGUGUCUUGAGCGAGAUGAUUAUCUAAGAGAGAGGUGGAGCAGGAAAACUUCUUAUCUUUUAGGACAUGUUUUACUGGAAUAUAGUUAUUUGACCCAACAUUUUGGUCUAUAUAUUUCAGAAAUGUUAAAUAGGCUUGAAAUGAAAGUGCUGUGAUAUAUAUUUAAAUGCUACUAGGUGUUUGAAGUUGAUAUUCCAGUGACAUAUGGACUUUUAAAAAUGCCUACAAUAAGUAUCUUCCUCUCGGCUGACUUCCUUGGGAAGGUAGGCUCUAAUUCCUCCUCAGCUGCCCAGCACUGGAGGAAGUCAAAUUGGAAGUAAGUUAUGCCAUCCUUGGAGGGUGGGGGAAAAUCUGCCUGAGAACAAAAGGUUCACUAGCUCCAUCUCUCCAUUGUCUCUACCAUAUCUUCACUUGGCUGGGAUUAACCUGAAAGUUAACAUGUCAAAAAUGGAAUCUUUAUCUUUCUGCCAUAGGUAUCAGCUUUUCUCAAAGUCUCCAUUAUUGUGAAUGACACCAUCAUCAUCCUAGUUUUCAAGGUCCCUAAAUUUGGAGUCUUUUUUUUUUUCUCCUCUUUUUUUCUCCACUAUAUUCUCCGGCAUCCUCAGUGCCCUUUACGAACCACGUUUUAUGAGCAGAAGCUUCCUAGCUAAAUCCCCCACUCCAGCCUUUCACUGCUAGGCAGAAAGAGCUCAGGUCUACCCACGGCAGUUUCUGUUUCUUUUCAGGACAGGAUCAUAAUAUUUGCCUUUCAGAAACACAAUAAAUUCUUACUUCUUGCCUCAGCUUCAAAAUCUGUACUGUUUUGUCUUUAGGUGGUUCCUUCUUCAAUUGCUCUAGAAUUUCCUCUCUAAUUGCCCUCAUUUCUUAUUACUUUUCAGCCCAAUCCUGAUGGGACUGGAAGACUGAUGAUUCUCCAGUGAAAUUGAGGAAGAAAGUGGUCUACCCAUCAGCCUUCAGCUGGUUGCCGUUGCAAAAAACUACUGUUUUAUCUUUAACUGUCUGUCUUGGUUUAUAGGUGAAUGACAGCUGAUUCUCUUUGCCUACUUUGAGAAUAAAUACCUUCCUGUUGCAUCUUCCAUUUUAACUAACACAUACUUAAUCUAAAAUAUACUUCCAUUUAGAUAUUUCUUUUUCUUCUUGACAGGUACAUACAUGAGUAUAUUUCUUUAUUCUGAGUCAAAACGUGUCAAAAUAAUGACCAUGUUUUUAAUGGAAAUUUUAAAUUUCAGAAUGUUGAAAAUGUAUAGGAGCUAUUUGGUGGAACCUGUUUGAAUGUGGGGAUUUAUUACAGCCUGAAAAUGGUAUAAUUGACUUAACAAAUUACAAGCUGGAAAAGGAAGAUUUUCAGACAAAAAGGGAAGUUGUUCAGACAUAGGAAGACUUUUUAAGGGUUAAAGUCAAAGUCAGAGGACCUCAUAUGGAGCUGCUGACUUGACAUGAGAUUAGCCCCUCUGCAAAUGACCCAGGAGAUGCCACCUAAAGUGGUGUAUUGAUGCUUAUGUCUGGGAUGUUGUAGGUACAGAGAAAACCUACCUGGAGAAAUGGCAGGCCUUUACUAGCUAGUAUUUGGCUUUGGGAUCAGUAUUGCCUAACUAAAUAGUCACGCCAACAUUGGGGCAUGUCUAUGAAUUUGGUUGUAUUUUGGUAGAUAAUAGAGAGUGACUUAUCAUUGACCUAAGAAACAAAAAAAUGAGAUGAAGCUGAGUGUGGUGGCACCUGCCUGUCAUCCCAGCUAUUCACGAGCCUGCUGUAAGAGGAUCAUGAAUUUGAGGCCAGCCUCAGCAGCUUAGUGAGACCCUCUGUCAAGAUAAUAUAAUGUGGGCUGGGGAUGUAGCUCUCACCUAGCAUGUGCAAAGCCUGAACCUAAUACCAAAAAUGGAAAAAAAAAAAUAAAAAGGAAACAAAAAGAUGGAAUCUUCGUCUCUCAGUCUGACUGCUAAACUUGUUAUUUUAAGGAUUGUUUCAAAGCUUUUAUUUGGUGUUACUAUCUGCCAUAAUUCUUCCUUUCUUUUCUUCAUUGUCUGGAGUCUUUCCUCUUCAGAGUUCAGUUCUUGCUAGUAGAAUAAGAUUAUACAGCAUGAUAGUACAAUGAUAUAAGAAUGUUAUGGUUUUAGAGUACUUGGGGACAGUUUUGGGAGUAGGUUCUAUGUCCAAAUGUGGUUAUGUAUUUGGCUUUUUACUGAAUUAAAUACACCUGUGAUUAACCAAGCCACCCAGACUUCACAAGUCAUCAGCUUGCUUCUCUCUU